rnacentral:hammerhead_ribozyme from 1 species
GCACUGCUGAGGAGUCCCACAAUAGGACGAAACGGCUUUGCAGUGC